AGAGUUUGAUCAUGGCUCAGAUUGAACGCUGGCGGCACGCCUAACACAUGCAAGUCGAGCGGCAGCAUGCUUAGUAGCAAUACUAAGUGAUGGCGAGCGGCGGACGGGUGAGGAACACGUAGGAACCUGCCCAAGAGAGGGGGAUAACUAAGGGAAACUUUAGCUAAUACCGCAUAAUCUCUGAGGAGAAAAGUUGCCCGUAAGGGUAGCGCUUUUGGAGGGGCCUGCGUCCGAUUAGCUAGUUGGUGAGGUAAUAGCUCACCAAGGCGAUGAUCGGUAACUGGUCUGAGAGGACGACCAGUCACACUGGGACUGAGACACGGCCCAGACUCCUACGGGAGGCAGCAGUGGGGAAUCUUGGACAAUGGGGGCAACCCUGAUCCAGCGAUGCCGCGUGGGUGAAGAAGGCCUUCGGGUUGUAAAGCCCUUUAGGCGGGGAAGAAGAAUAUGGGAUGAAUAAUCCUGUAUUUUGACGGUACCCGCAGAAUAAGCACCGGCAAACUCUGUGCCAGCAGCCGCGGUAAUACAGAGGGUGCGAGCGUUAAUCGGAUUUACUGGGCGUAAAGGGCGCGUAGGCGGUUUAGUGAGUGUGAUGUGAAAGCCCCGGGCUCAACCUGGGAAGUGCAUCGCAAACGACUAAACUGGAGUAGGUGAGAGGGUGGCGGAAUUUCCGGUGUAGCGGUGAAAUGCGUAGAGAUCGGAAGGAACGUCAAUGGCGAAGGCAGCCACCUGGCACCAUACUGACGCUGAGGCGCGAAAGCGUGGGGAGCGAACAGGAUUAGAUACCCUGGUAGUCC
rnacentral:rRNA from 1 species